AAACUGUAACAACUCGAAGGAUUUUUAUUAUUACGGUAAAUAACGAUUUAAUUUCCUCUUUAAAAAUCUACUUUGGUGAUAGUUUACUAAUUAACCAAAACCUGUAAUUACUUCUUUACUUAAUAUACUAAUAGGUCGCAUGUUUAAUGAACUUCUGCCUUGUCUCCGAUAAAGCUUAUUAAAAUCGAAAGAAUAUCUAACACACAGUAAAUUUUGCGUUAAUAUUAAAUAAUUAAUUAAAGUUUGAAUGGUUAAUUAAUUAUCUAAUAUCUAGACUGUCAUCUAUGCUAAUUUUUAUUGCCUGAGGAAUCUUUAUCUCUGCCGAAGCUAUUCUGCACUUCGAUUCAUCCUUGGAGAUUAGCAGCUGGAAUUAUUCUUUCAAUAAUGCAGACAGGUGAAAAGCCAUCUAAAACAUGGAAAAUCCUAAGAAUAUCCCUGAGGAAUUAUUACUGGAAAAGGAAGGUUUUUUUUACCUUUCUUCUCAAUUCACCUGUGAAAUCCUUUGGGACGGUCGAGAUGCACUACAGAAAAUAUCAUCUAAUUGAAAAUGGUCUUCUUUACUCCAAAUGCAUUUCUUUUCUCUCCUAAAAUUGGAUUUGUGUUUUAUACAUAUAACAUUAUGGUACCAAAUUAAACUUUUACUGCCGAAUUAUUAUAUAAAAUAAAAUAAAAUAAAAAAACGUUUAGGC
rnacentral:lncRNA from 1 species